rnacentral:rRNA from 1 species
UGGGGAAUAUUGGACAAUGGGCGAAAGCCUGAUCCAGCCAUGCCGCGUGUGUGAAGAAGGUCUUCGGAUUGUAAAGCACUUUAAGUUGGGAGGAAGGGCAGUAAGCGAAUACCUUGCUGUUUUGACGUUACCGACAGAAUAAGCACCGGCUAACUCUGUGCCAGCAGCCGCGGUAAUACAGAGGGUGCAAGCGUUAAUCGGAAUUACUGGGCGUAAAGCGCGCGUAGGUGGUUCGUUAAGUUGAAUGUGAAAGCCCCGGGCUCAACCUGGGAACUGCAUCCAAAACUGGCGAGCUAGAGUAGGGCAGAGGGUGGUGGAAGUGCCUGUGUAGCGGUGAAAUGCGUAGAUAUAAGAAGGAACACCAGUGGCGAAGGCGACCACCUGGGCUCAUACUGACACUGAGGUGCGAAAGCGUGGGGAGCAAACAGG